GCCCGGGUGCGCAUUGCUGGGCCGCCACCCACUGGCGACUCUCACUACUGCCGUCCGGCCUUUCAUCCUCUGCCAACGCCGUUUCCAAGAAGGGUUCUGCGGAGCCAGGGUGCUGGGGUCUAUGACUCAGAACCAUUGGUCGAGGACAGGGUCCCCACCUGUGUGACACUGUCCCUCCAUCCUGUCGUCUGCUCACAUUGAACCAGGAACCACCUCCCUGGCAGACCGUGCUGGAUUUGAAUUAUGAGGUUACAAAGCAGACUGCUGGAAGCACGUUCUACUCAGUGUUAGCCUGUAGUCCCUGCAAUCAGCUUGUGAGAAUCCUUUGAUUUGAUAAAGAAAAAUUGAGAGGGAGGGACAAUAUAAAGGGAGAGAGAGACAGAGAGACCUGCAGCACCAUUUUACCACUUGUGAAGCCUUCCUCCUGCAGGUGGGGACCAGGGACUUGAACCCCAGUCCAUGUGCAUGGUAAUACAUGCUGUUAACCAGGUGGGGACUGGAGGCUUGAAGCCAGGUCUUUGUGCAUGAUAACAUGUACACUCAUUGAGAUGCACCGUCACCUGGGCCCUCCAAGACUACAACCCUUCUGCUUCUGCUCUUUCCUUGGGGCCCUCACUCCUGUUCUGAUAACAGAACAGAGAGGUGGUGGUUGGAGAAGUUAAGGCCCAUGAUGAGACAAGGGGCUCAGGGACAAGGAAGGUGGAGGAGUAGGCCCUGUCUCACAGAAAGAAGGCAGGAAAGAAGGGAACGACAGUAGCUGGAGUUUUCAGGGGACACCCAUGGUCCUGGCGAGUGUCUCUGCAGAAUGAUUAAGUGGAAAUCUGCUUUCAAGAAGUCAAGAGUAAGUAGGGGGUGGGUAGGUGGCAGUGCACUGGUUUGAGCACACAUCACAAUAUGCAAGGACCUGGGUUCAAGCCCCAUCUCCAUCUUGGGUAGUGGUGGUGGGGGAAGCUCCACAACUGGUGAAACAAUACUUCA